CCAGCCAUGCCGCGUGUGUGAAGAAGGCCUUUUGGUUGUAAAGCACUUUAAGCAGUGAAGAAGACUCUUCGGUUAAUACCCGGAGACGAUGACAUUAGCUGCAGAAUAAGCACCGGCUAACUCUGUGCCAGCAGCCGCGGUAAUACAGAGGGUGCAAGCGUUAAUCGGAAUUACUGGGCGUAAAGCGAGCGUAGGUGGCUUGAUAAGUCAGAUGUGAAAUCCCCGGGCUUAACCUGGGAACUGCAUCUGAAACUGUUAGGCUAGAGUAGGUGAGAGGGAAGUAGAAUUUCAGGUGUAGCGGUGAAAUGCGUAGAGAUCUGAAGGAAUACCGAUGGCGAAGGCAGCUUCCUGGCAUCAUACUGACACUGAGGCUCGAAAGCGUGGGUAGCAAACAGGAUUAGAUACCCUGGUAGUCCACGCCGUAAACGAUGUCUACUAGUCGUUGGGUCCCUUGAGGACUUAGUGACGCAGCUAACGCAAUAAGUAGACCGCCUGGGGAGUACGGCCGCAAGGUUAAAACUCAAAUGAAUUGACGGGGGCCCGCACAAGCGGUGGAGCAUGUGGUUUAAUUCGAUGCAACGCGAAGAACCUUACCUGGUCUUGACAUAUCUAGAAUCCUGCAGAGAUGCGGGAGUGCCUUCGGGAAUUAGAAUACAGGUGCUGCAUGGCUGUCGUCAGCUCGUGUCGUGAGAUGUUGGGUUAAGUCCCGCAACGAGCGCAACCCUUGUCCUUAGUUACCAGCGGGUUAAGCCGGGAACUCU
rnacentral:rRNA from 1 species